CGAACGGGUGAGUAACGCGUGAGGAACCUGCCUCAAAGAGGGGGACAACAGUUGGAAACGACUGCUAAUACCGCAUAAGCCCACGACCCGGCAUCGGGUAGAGGGAAAAGGAGCAAUCCGCUUUGAGAUGGCCUCGCGUCCGAUUAGCUAGUUGGUGAGGUAACGGCCCACCAAGGCGACGAUCGGUAGCCGGACUGAGAGGUUGAACAGCCACAUUGGGACUGAGACACGGCCCAG
rnacentral:rRNA from 1 species